rnacentral:rRNA from 1 species
CAGCCGCCGCGGUAAUACCGGCGGCCCGAGUGGCGGUCACUAUUAUUGGGCUUAAAGCGUCCGUAGCCGGGUUGGGAAGUCCUCCGGGAAAUCUGGCCGCUUAACGGUCAGAAUGCCGGAGGAUACUCCCAGCCUAGGGAGCGGGAGAGGCCGAGGGUAUUCCCGGGGGAGGGGGGAAAUCCUGUAAUCCCGGGAGGACCACCUGUGGCGAAGGCGCUCGGCUGGAACGCGUCCGACGGUGAGGGACGAAGGCCAGGGGAGCGAACCGGAUUAGAUACCCGGGUAGUCCUGGCUGUAAACGAUGCGGACUUUGUGUCGGACAAGCUAUGAGCUUGUCCGGUGCCGGAGGGAAACCGUUAAGUCCGCCGCCUGGGGAGUACGGCCGCAAGGCUGAAACUUAAAGGAAUUGGCGGG